rnacentral:rRNA from 1 species
AACGAACGCUGGCGGCAGGCUUAACACAUGCAAGUCGAGCGCGUAGCAAUACGAGCGGCAGACGGGUGAGUAACGCGUGGGAAUCUACCGUACCCUACGGAAUAGCUCUGGGAAACUGGAGGUAAUACCGUAUACGCCCUAACGGGGAAAGAUUUAUCGGGGUAUGAUGAGCCCGCGUUGGAUUAGCUAGUUGGUGGGGUAAAGGCCUACCAAGGCGACGAUCCAUAGCUGGUCUGAGGGGAUGAUCAGCCACAUUGGGACUGAGACACGGCCCAAACUCCUACGGGAGGCAGCAGUGGGGAAUAUUGGACAAUGGGCGCAAGCCUGAUCCAGCCAUGCCGCGUGAGUGAUGAAGGUCUUAGGAUUGUAAAGCUCUUUCACCGAUGAAGAUAAUGACGGUAGUCGGAGAAGAAGCCCCGGCUAACUUCGUGCCAGCCGCCGCCGUAAGAC